rfam:Ornithorhynchus anatinus chromosome 6, whole genome shotgun sequence.
CCCCUCUAAGGUUCGUACUUGGAGAGUCUCCAGUCCUCUACCAGUAUCGACUACGAGGGGGAGAGUCAAGCAGAGCCCUGUCCAUUCCAUUCCUAGCUUGGGCAGUGGCUAGCGAGUGGAAGGCCAUCUGCUACAAGU